rnacentral:lncRNA from 1 species
GCCACUGCCCAGGUGGCUAAAGGGUUCACUAAGUGAGAAAUGAUGGUGAGAGAUUAAGAAACUUAAAGAAUAAGACAAAGAAGACAAAUUCACAGUUAAAUUUACAAAGCUGAGCCCAGGUGGAAACGCCUGGUCCUGAUGAGACAAAAAGCUUGGCCCUUGUCCUCAGCACCUUUAUUUAUAGUGUAGAUAAGGAAACCGGAAGAGGAGGCCUGAUUGGAGCAGGGAGAGUGGCUCUGGCCUGCAGGAGACAGUGCUUGAUGUUUCUCUGGCUUCUGUGGCCACGCCCUCUUCCCCCCAUGCCCUCCGAGGGAGGAGGCCAGUCCGUAGUGAUCUACAGCACAUCGCUCCCAGCACGAGACAUUUCUUGUAAAGGAACUGCAGAGUCACCCUGGAGUGCGUGUUCUGCGCGUGCGUCUUGGGUCUCCAUGGCUGGCAGGCGCUUACCAGAUUUGCCCCGCUCGGAUCUCCUGCCUCACCUGGACACUCCUGGCCGCGGUGUCUACACUUCUGUCCUCCCAGGCUCGCCUUGCCUUCCCAAGGGAGCAGGAGCUCCAGAAACGCCUGCCCCCAGCCACCUUCUGAAGCUGCUGGGACGGGGCAGGCAGGCGAGAAGCUCAGCCCAGGCGCAGAAAGGACUGGAAACCAGCAGCUCAGGGCUGGUGACUCACGCUCCUCCAGCCCUGCCCCACCCUCUGACGCCCCUUGCCUCAGCCUCCACACGCGCAUCCGUCACUUAGCCAGCAGCCUUUCCUUCUGCCUGGCACUGUGCUGGCAUUUGUUAAUUAUUUCAGUUUAUUCUCUGAAAAGUACCUCCCAAAGCCUACCUGCAAAUAUUAAAAUAAAAUAAAAUGAGCAGCGGUUUAGAACUGAGUUUGUUUGUUGAGGUUACGGUUUUAAAAAGUGAAGCCUCUCCCUGGGUCUCCCCAGUGCUUCCCUGGGGUGACAACUGCUAACAUUUUGAUUCUCUCAGGCUUUUUUCUAUGGCUCCCAGGUCUUAAUUCUUGCUCUGCCACUUACUAGCUGUGUGAUUGCUACUUAGCACCUCACCGAUUUUGUUUUCCUGUUCAUAGAGAUAAUACUGAUUUGAGAGUAAUUAGGAGAAUCAAAUCUGUUAGUGUAUACAAAAUCCCUAAAACAGUCCCUCCCUCAGCAUAAAGGAUUAAACAUAAUAAGUGUGAAUAAACUUUGUUGAAACAGAUGUGCAGUGUAGGCUUGGUGGUUCACGCCUGUAAUCCCAGCCCUCAGGAGGCUGAGUCAGGGGGUGGAGUUAGAGGCCAACCUGGGCUGCACAGUGCGACCUUGACUCCUAAAAUCCAAAUAAAUGGUACAUGGAAUAUAUGUGGGCAGGGGUGUUCUAGUCGUUUUCUCAUCACUGGAACAAAAUAUCCAACACAAGAAC